AAAGUGACUUGAAGGAGGUAGUUAAAAACAGUCCUAGAAGAUAUUAUUACAGGAUAAUCAUGUCCUGCUAAGGCAUGUAGACAUGCAAUCUUUUGGGUUUUUUUCUAGGAAUUCCAGAAAUAAAUUACAUGAAAAAAAUAACUGACACGCCUAGAGGGAAGGAGGAGUCUAACAGUCUUCCUACAUUUCCUUACAAUGACAGGAAAUGAGACAGGUUUCCAGCUUCCCAUGCGAACUUACAUCCCUGGGAUGUUCUGGUGGUCUCCCAUUCAAUUACUAACCGGGAUCAAUCUUCUUUCAAAUUAGCCGAUGUACAGGCAUCUACUGAAAUAAACUGGCAUUUAUCAGGACUGAAUCAAAUGUAAAUUAUGAAGCAUUCAAGAACCUCCUGGAAAUUUCUUUUCAUUCUGGUAAAUCAGACUAUUAAUACUUUUGUUCUACUUCAUUCUAAAUGUGUCACAAUACUACUGCA